UAACCGAGUCAUAAUCAAGCUUAGGCUUGGUAUCCUAUUAUUAUUUACCAAAAGAAUUCAGAAUUAAUAUUGUAACAUAGACCUAAAAAAUCUAUAAAACAACUUUUAACAACGGAUCUCUUGGUUCUCGCAUCGAUGAAGAACGUAGCAAAGUGCGAUAACUAAUGUGAAUUGCAUAUUCAGUGAAUCAUCGAGUCUUUGAACGCAACUUGCGCUCAUUGGUAUUCCAAUGAGCACGCCUGUUUCAGUAUCAAAACAAACCCUCUAUCCAACAUUUUGUUGAAUAGGAAUACUGAGAGUCUCUUGAUCUAUUCUGAUCUCGAACCUCUUGAAAUGUACAAAGGCCUGAUCUUGUUUGAAUGCCUGAACUUUUUUUUAAUAUAAAGAGAAGCUCUUGCGGUAAACUGUGCUGGGGCCUCCCAAAUAAUACUUUUUUUAAAUUUGAUCUGAA
rnacentral:rRNA from 1 species